GAUGAACGCUGGCGGCGUGCUUAACACAUGCAAGUCGAGCGAAGCACUUUGGAAAGAUUCUUCGGAUGAUUUCCUUUGUGACUGAGCGGCGGACGGGUGAGUAACGCGUGGGCAACCUGCCUCAUACAGGGGGAUAACAGUUAGAAAUGACUGCUAAUACCGCAUAAGACCACGGUACCGCAUGGUACAGUGGUAAAAACUCCGGUGGUAUGAGAUGGACCCGCGUCUGAUUAGGUAGUUGGUGGGGUAACGGCCUACCAAGCCGACGAUCAGUAGCCGACCUGAGAGGGUGACCGGCCACAUUGGGACUGAGACACGGCCCAGACUCCUACGGGAGGCAGCAGUGGGGAAUAUUGCACAAUGGAGGAAACUCUGAUGCAGCGACGCCGCGUGAAGGAUGAAGUAUUUCGGUAUGUAAACUUCUAUCAGCAGGGAAGAAAAUGACG
rnacentral:rRNA from 1 species